CGCCCACCUGAGGGCGACUCGAGGGUGCCCUCGCCCCGUCCGCCGUGACCACCCCUCUUCGGAUCUCACCGCCUCGACCAAAAUGUGAUUUGAGGCAAAGUCUGCGUUCGUGGCAAGGACAAUAAAAAUGAUGGAGCUUUUGGUCUUCAGCACCUUGAAAUGGAGGAUGCAAGCUGUUACUGCUUGCUCGUUUAUUGACUACUUCCUUUGCAAAUUCAAUGAUCAUGACACACCCUCCAUGCUCGCAUUCUCCUGCUCAACUGACCUCAUCCUGAGCACAGCUAAGUGAGCUGAUUUUUUGGUGUUCAGACAUUCAGAGAUUGCUGGAAGUGAUGCACUUCCUUCAUUUGGGGAGCACACGACUUCAGUUGUCGAAAUGGCUACAACUAAUUGCAAGUAUAUAAACACGGUAGUGAUCAGCUCUCUGUUAUCGUUAACUAAAUCAUUUGCCCGC